AUAAUACUCCCUCCGUCCCAAAAUUCUUGUCUUAGAUUUGUCUAGAUACGGAUGUAUCUAAUACUAAAACGUGACUUGAUACAUUCGUAUUUAGACAAAUCUAAGACAAGAAUUUUGGGACGGAGUAGUAAUAA
rfam:Triticum aestivum genome assembly, contig: Triticum_aestivum_CS42_TGACv1_scaffold_644445_T_1BL-0.308659_1DL-0.157439